UACAUAUUAUUGUACUGUUUGAUUAUUAUAUUAUUCACUUGAUCUUGAUGUUUGUUAAUCUUGAAUGUUUUUUCAAAUGUAUAACAUAUUUUGAUCUCUUUUAAAAAAGUGCAGCGCGGUUUGUCACAAUAAAAAAACCGGAAAUAGCUGCAACUGCAACUUCCUCUGCUAAGAAUAGCAUUGAGAACGAUGACUUUGAACUCUUUAGUGACAAUUUCAGGAUAAUUUUCAUUGUUUAACAAGCGAAAAAAUGAAUGUCAAAGAUCGUCAGAAAAUUGAUUUUUACUGCGAUAUUGCAGUACGUACAAUUAAUAUAAUGAAUUUGUGGCCCAAGUUAAUAGAAAAUAAAAUUUUUAACAUCGACGAUGUCAACAUAUCCACAUGGAAAAAAAAUUUUGACAAAGAAGAAACUGUUAAAAACAUUUGGUUAACAAUUAAAACUAGAGGACCUUCUGCAUUCCAAAAUCUACUUCUGAGUUUAAGACAAAGUAAUCAUGAAGAACUGGCAGAUCAGUUAGAUGAACACACAAAAAAUAGCUUUGAAUUCAAUAACGACAAUUAUUUUUCUGAGAUAUUAUCUACUGAGAAGCAUUUAUGGAUAAAUGUGAAAAAAAGUGAUAAAUUUGCAAAUAGUCCAUAUGAUCUUAUUAAAUGUUAUCAAAUGACAAGUAAUCCUCGUGGAUUAGUUUUAAUUAUUACAAAUAUUGAUUACAAAUCUGAUCUAGAAAAACCUAGGACGUCAGCGAUACACGAUCAAAUAAAUCUUUUCCAUUUGUUUCAUCAAAUGGGAUUUUCUAUUGAAAAGCAUUGCGAUUUGACAGGACAGGAAAUUAAAGAUUGCGUUAAAUCAUUUUCAAAACGUGAAGAAUUACAAUAUGUUGAUUCGUGUUUUAUAAUUGUCAGUAGUCAUGGCAGUGGUCCUGGCAGAAAGGGCGAAGAAUAUUGUACAGAAAUAAAAGGUGUAGAUGAUGAUUACAUGGAUCAUAUGUCACAUGAACAUACAAAAGUUUUUUGUUCAGACAUUAUAGAAUGUUUCACAUCCACAGCUUGUCCUUACUUGGCAGGAAAACCAAAAGUAUUUAUUUUUCAAUUAUGUCGAGGUACCAAAACACAAACCACAACAAUAAGGAAGACAAUGCCUAAACGGGUAACUGAUUCAUCUCAAUAUUAUGUACCUAAAAACAAUUCUGACUCAAGUUCUAAAAACGAAGGAACUAGGAAUUAUUCUGACAUGUUAAUUGCAUAUGCUACACUACCAGGACAUGUUGCCUUUCGUAAUGCUGUAACUGGUAGUUGGUUUAUACUAAUAUUUUGUGAAGUAUUUAUGAAUCAUGCUUGUGAACAUCAUAUAUGUGACUUAUUCAAAAUAGUAGAUUCACGACUGAGAAAAGUGACAUCAACUGAAAAUUAUUGUCAAACAGUAUCGGUUGAAUGCAAAGGUUUUUAUAAACAUUGUUACAUCAAUCCUGGAAUUUUUGAAGAGAAAGAAGAAAAAUAACAUAAGUGCACAGUAAUAUACCAGGAUUUAAUUAUCCCAGUUUUAUAUUUACAUACCUGAUCACCAGUUUUACCAUUGCUGUUAAUGAAGGCGAUGACCAAGUUUUAUAACUAAUCGGCGACAUUUAUGCUGUCAUAAGAGAUUAAAUUAUCUUCUGGUAACAAGAUGUACAGUGAAUAAGGAAAAGAGAGGUAUCACCGAGUAAUUUACAAAAUACCUUAUGGUUUCUCCAUGCAGGGAAUAAUAGAAAAUAAUAUUUUUGCUUUGAAAGAGCAAAUUUUGGAAGAAAUAGAAAUGUGUCAAAUGUUUUCGAGAUAUUUCAGCCUGAAUCAUGUUAUAGAAUUUGUAAUUUAAAAAGUAGUAGUAAAGUAGAUAUAUUCAUUGCAAUGAAAGUAGUAAUAGCAAUUACUUCGAGCAUUUAUUAUAAUAGUAUAAUAUAUAUAUAUAUAAAUCUUUUUUUUAUUAUAGAUAAUAACUUAGAUUUUUGAUAAACUAACUUAUGCAUUUAUAUUUUGAUAUUAAGUUGUAAAACAUAAGAAAAGUUACCUGUACAGUAUAAUGUUUCCUAUAAGAAGCAUAUAUAUAUAUAUAUAUAUAUUUUAUACGGAUUUGUAAAAGAAAAAGAUAAAUAAAAAAAAAAAAAAAUACUUUAUAUCUAUGAACAAUUUAAUCGUAAGCUUUUAUCUAUAUAAUGUUAUGCUUCAUUCGGUGAUUAAACUUAAUUGGCAUGUUCUUAUGCAUGACAAAUUUUCAAUUAUAAUUUUAAUAAAGAAACUUUGUUACGAGCAAUUUAUACGUUUUAACUAGCGCAAAUAAAAUCAACCAAACAAAUUGAUAUAUCAGUAGUUAGGAAUAGAAUGAAAUGACAUGCUUGUUAAAGCAUUAAAUUUGGAUGCAAUACGGUUCGACACAAAAUACAAUUUCAAAAAUGUAGUUACGACUUGAAAUUCAAACAAGUUUCUUGUGACGAUCAAUUUACGAGUGCUAGUUAUAAAAACAAAAUAUUCCAAUAUGUGGAAUUUGUUCUUUUCUAUUAUCUUUGUUCCUUUGAUUUUGUUAAUUAUUUCCCUAUCAAAUAAUGUCAAAUCAUUUCCAAUGAAUGACUCUCAAAAUAUAAAAUCAAAUACAACGGUUCAAACUACUAUUAGUUAUAGACUUGAUACUUGGUCACAAUAUGAUAAUCCUGAGGAAGGUACGCAUCAAGAGGGUGAUAUUAAAAUAUCAAAUACUCGAAAAACAUUUACAGCAUUUAAAGAUAAAUUGUGGCCAAAUGGAAUUGUGUACUACACUGUAGAUGAACUUAUUG
rnacentral:misc_RNA from 1 species